rnacentral:rRNA from 1 species
CCUACGUGGGGCUGCAGUGGGGAAUAUUGGACAAUGGGCGAAAGCCUGAUCCAGCCAUGCCGCGUGUGUGAAGAAGGCCUUCGGGUUGUAAAGCACUUUCAGUGGGGAAGAAAGCCUUGGGGCUAAUACCCUCGAGGAAGGACAUCACCCACAGAAGAAGCACCGGCUAACUCCGUGCCAGCAGCCGCGGUAAUACGGAGGGUGCGAGCGUUAAUCGGAAUUACUGGGCGUAAAGCGCGCGUAGGCGGUCUGAUAAGCCGGUUGUGAAAGCCCCGGGCUCAACCUGGGAACGGCAUCCGGAACUGGCAGGCUAGAGUGCAGGAGAGGAAGGUAGAAUUCCCGGUGUAGCGGUGGAAUGCGUAGAGAUCGGGAAGAAUACCAGUGGCGAAGGCGGCCUUCUGGACUGAAACUGACGCUGAGGUGCGAAAGCGUGGGUAGCAAACAGGAUUAGAUACCCUUGUAGUC